rnacentral:rRNA from 1 species
CCUACGGGAGGCAGCAGUGGGGAAUUUUGGACAAUGGGCGCAAGCUGAUCCAGCAAUGCCGCGUGUGUGAAGAAGGCCUUCGGGUGUAAAGCACUUUUUCGGGGGGAAAUCGUGGGUUUUAUACCUUGCGAUGACGGUACCCGAAGAAUAAGCACCGCUAUCUUUGC